CUCCUACGGGAGGCAGCAGUGAGGAAUAUUGCGCAAUGGGGGCAACCCUGACGCAGCAACGCCGCGUGAGUGAGGAAGGUUUUCGGACCGUAAAGCUCUGUCGAGCGGGAAGAAAUGUAUCGUGGCUAAUAUCCAUGAUAUUUGACGGUACCGCUAAAGGAAGCACCGGCUAACUCCGUGCCAGCAGCCGCGGUAAUACGGGGGGUGCAAGCGUUGUUCGGAAUUAUUGGGCGUAAAGAGCGUGUAGGCGGCUGAAUAAGUCAGAUGUGAAAUCCCUGGGCUUAACCCAGGAAGUGCAUUUGAAACUAUUCAGCUUGAGUAGGGGAGAGGAAAGUGGAAUUCCUGGUGUAGAGGUGAAAUUCGUAGAUAUCAGGAGGAACACCGGUGGCGAAGGCGACUUUCUGGCCCUAUACUGACGCUGAGACGCGAGAGCGUGGGUAGCAAACAGGAUUAGAUACCCUGGUAGUCCACGCUGUAAACGAUGUUCACUAGGUGUUGGGGGUAUUGACCCUCUCAGUGCCGCAGCUAACGCAUUAAGUGAACCGCCUGGGGAGUACGGUCGCAAGAUUAAAACUCAAAGGAAUUGACGGGGGCCCGCACAAGCGGUGGAGCAUGUGGUUUAAUUCGAUGC
rnacentral:rRNA from 1 species